UUGGUUUAUUCAUUAUUGAAUAACUUAAUCCAUUCAUCACCUUCACUUACAAUAUAUGCAAAUAUAUUCAUACUAUCACACACUCAUCCUUUCUCCCAAAAAAAAAACGCAAAAUCUAGAUCGAGAGCCAAAAUCGAGGCGGCGAAAGCAGUCUCCGAUGUGCUGCGACGGCGAUUGCAGGCCUCUAGGGUUUCUCCUCGGCCUGCCUUUCGCGUUUCUCUCUCUGAUCAUCUCUCUCGUCGGCUUACUCUUCUGGAUCGUCGGGUUGGUGCUGAGCUGCGUAUGCCCGUGCUGUUACUGCGUGACGCUGCUGGUGGAGAUGGCGCUCGAGCUCAUUAAAGCUCCGAUUCGCGUCAUGGAGUGGUUCACUUCUCAGAUCCCUUGCUAAUUUUUCAUUUUUUAUUUUAUUUUGCUCUGUGUUUUUAUGAUUUUUGUGAUAUUUUUGGUGAGUUUAUGGGAUUUGUGUGGAAAUGCCUAAUUUUGCAGAUUAA